AACGUCAUAUAUGAAUGAAGAUAAAAUAUAAAAAACACAUGUAUCGAACUUUUGUCAGAGAGUUUUGAGUGUUUGUCAUCUCUUUAUGAUAUUAAAUUAUAUUGAUUGAUUUUUUUGAUUUUUUUUUGAAUUUACAAACGAUACCAACAUAUGAAAUAAAGUUUAUAAAUUGUGAAUGUUACAUACGUCCAAAUAUUGGAUCCGUUGAGAAAGUCACCAAGCAAAUGUGGGUAUAUGACAGUCAAGAUGGAAUGGUUUUACGUGAUGUUUCAUAUGUGCCCCAAUUAUAUAAAAUUUUUGAUGAAAUUCUUGUAAAUAUUGCUGAUGAUAAAAUUUGUGAUCAAAAAAUGACCAUUAUUAAAAUCGAAAUCAAUAUGUAAAGUGAUGAAAUAAUUUUUUUAACAAUGGCCGUGGAAGAACGUUUCUGAUCCCACAUCAAGAUAUAAAUGGUGCUGAAACAAUUGUUUUCACAACAAGGAUUUUUGGCAAUAUUUUAUCAUCAUUAAAUUGUAUUAAUAAUAACGCUACAAGUGUAUAUGAUUACACAAAUAGGAUCCCAUUAUUAGUGGUAAUUGAUGGUUCCAUUCAAAAUUCACAGCUAAAUUAAAUUUUGCUCGAUACACUAGUGGUUGAUUCAUCAAAUCAAGCAAAAUUUUUAUUUACAUCGUCCACGAAACACGACACUUGAUUUUGAUUUUCAAUAUAACGGACAAAUAGCCAAUUGUCAUUGUUUCAAAAAUCAUUGGCGAGCUUAUUGGUCCACUAUUGAUCAAUGUCAUCGAAGACAGUGAAGCUCCU